GGGGGGGAAGGGGGAUGCGGGGACGGGGGACGGGGGGGUCGGGACGGGGAUGGGACGGGUGGACUAGCAUUUAAACACAUGUCCAUGUUUCAUACAAUAACCAUGUAACUGCUCUUAGGUGUUCUAGUCCUUUUAAUAGCUGCUCUGGUGUUAUUUGUGUGUGUGUGGGUGUGUGUGUGUGUGUGUGUGUGUGUGUGUGUGUGUGUGUGCGUGUGUGUGUGUGUGUUUUCAGAGUGAGGAACUAUUGAGAGAAUAUCUGGAUGAGAAGGCUAGAGUGGGGAACACUAUCCUCUUGGUCGACCAGACUCUCAGCAAACAAGAACACAAAAGUGAAGUGGAGAGGGUGAAGAAGGAGGCAGCAGAACAGGCUCGGAGAGCGGCAGAAGAGCAGAUUCAGAUUCAGCAACAGCUGAUGGAAAAGAUUGAGAAAGAACGAGAGAUCACCAAACAGGAAUAUAAACAAGUGCUGGAGGCCAGACUUACGGAGCUGAAGGACCUAACGGAAGAAGGCUUUAAGGAAAUAGGAGAAUACAUGGAGAAAAACAAAAACGCCAUUCAAAGUAACGAUAAUCCAACUCCUCAAAAUAAUGUCUCCAAAAUGUUGGAUGGAGUUGGGACUAUUUGUUCCUUUGUUCCUGGCGUUGGCACUGCGAUUGGGGGCGGUCUUAUCGCCAGUGCCAAAGCUUUAGACUACGCUUCAGAACUCGUAAAGUAACUGACAGAUUUUUAUAAAAUGUGACCGAUUAUUAAUAAAAAUAUGAGGGAAAUAUUUUCCUUAAAAAAAAAAAAAAGAAAAGGUAAUUAGGUUUUGUUUUCUGUGUUGGAAUGGUGUGGGUCUGUACAGAAACAGAAGGGUGUGAGUGUAUACCAGUCAUUACAUAUAUUCAUGCAAGUAGACCACUGAUUGGCCAGCUUUGCCAAUGAUGUAGGAUGGCAUCAUUCUCUAUGAGGAAAUAGAGCACAUUUUUUUUAAACUGUAUGUUUGAGAUACAAAGUUUGACGUUGUUGAAAAAUUAUAUAAAAAACAAUUCCGAGUAUUGGAAGAGUCAACAACAGUAUUUCGGUAUGAGGUAAAAUAAUAUGUACGAUUUACACUGGACAGUUACUUUAAAGGGGCAACAGCCCAAAUGCAUACUGUACUUUGUAAUGGAAACAAAUAAGCGGCACUUGGCUAGCUGAAGGCCAGCUGAAGGCCAGCUGAAGGCCAGCUGAAGGCCAGGCACCUCAGGCUGUUCUUGGCUAGCUGAAGGCCAGCUGAAGG
rnacentral:lncRNA from 13 species